rnacentral:rRNA from 1 species
UACGUAGGGGGCGAGCGUUGUCCGGAUUCAUUGGGCGUAAAGCGCGCGCAGGCGGUUGGGGGAGCCCGGCGUGAAAGCCCCCAGCUCAACUGGGGGAGGCCGUCGGGGACCUUCCGACUGGAGGCCGGUAGGGGCGAGCGGAAUUCCCGGUGUAGUGGUGGAAUGCGUAGAUAUCAGGAGGAACACCGGUGGCGAAGGCGGGUCUCUGGGCCUGCACUGACGCUGAGGAGCGAAAGCGUGGGGAGCGAACAGG